UGAAGUCGUAGAGAAAUUGCCCUUACCGCAAAAUCGGAGGAAAAUGUUGAAGAAAAUGAUGGCCGCCUCUGCGGUGGCCCUCCGGAGUGGCACUCGGCCGUCUCUCAUGUUCACUUGCCGCCAUUCCACCUCCGCAUCCUCCGCCGUCAACUCCUUCCUCCUCCGCUCCCUCAAAGAACACUAUCUCGAGAUCACCAGAAUGGCGGCUCCUCCAAAAGUGAGCCCUCCUUCUUCCUUUUCUAUCAUAGUAGGCGCAUUAGACGGCAAUGGACCGGUGCUUACUAAGAACUACGGGAAAGAAGAGAUUAACAUUUCGGUUAUGCGAUUGGCUAAUAUUGUUCGGGGAGGUGGUGGAGGCGACGACGAUGAUGAAAUUAACCAGUUGUUUCUGCAUGUGACUGUAUCGAAGCUGGAGCAGAAGGAUAAUUUGCAUUUUCUUUGUGGGUUGUAUCCUGAUGCCUUAGGUAUUCAUUCCGUUUCGAUGAGACCGAAAGCCGAAUCUUCGGGGUCGGGGUUUCUCGUUGUUCCGUCCAGCUAUAAUGGUCCUACAUUCGAAGAUCUGGAUGAGAAAAUGCGAGAUAUGUUUCACAAUUAUAUAGAAGAGCGAGGUGUGAAUGAGUCCCUCUUUCCAUUUCUUCAAGCAUGGCUUUAUGUGAAAGAACAUCGAAAUCUUUUGCGGUGGUUCAGAUCAGUUGGCACAUUCAUCUACGAGCCCAAGAAUGGUAAAAAGGAUUGAUAGUUAACUGGAUAGAAAAACUGUUAGUCUGGAUGCUUUGAUUUUGUGGAAUUCAGGGUUCCAUCUUCAAAAUUGGUUAUAGGUGGUGUAUCAGCGGCUUGUCGAGCAUUUGACUAACUCACACCAUCCAUGUCAAAUGGGAUUUGUCUCGUGGACACACAAGCAAUCCAACCUGUUAUUGUUGACGAAUUCCAGCUAACAAGGCUUUGGAUGUGGAGAAAAUUUCUUUGACCAAACUUUUAUUGACUCUAGUUGAAACUGUUUCGACCGCUGAGAUACAUCCUCCUACGAGUCUUCAUUAGGAAUCAAUUGGGCAAAUACCUCAGACGCGAGAGCAGGACAAGGUAUAUCUAAGGAUGAGAUUAGAUGUAAAUAUCGAAUACGAGAAAGAAAAUAAUCAAAUAAUCCAAUGGUUCAAACAAACUUUUUAACAAAAUUCAUAUAGAAAAAUAAGAUUUUUU